UACGUAGGGUGCAAGCGUUAAUCGGAAUUACUGGGCGUAAAGCGUGCGCAGGCGGUUAUGUAAGACAGAUGUGAAAUGCCCGGGCUUAACCUGGGAACUGCAUUUGUGACUGCAUGGCUAGAGUUGGCAGAGGGGGGUAGAAUUCCACGUGUAGCAGUGAAAUGCGUAGAUAUGUGGAGGAACACCGAUGGCGAAGGCAGCCCCCUGGGUCAAGACUGACGCUCAUGCA
rnacentral:rRNA from 1 species